CGCAUCCUGACUGCUCCUGGCAACGGGGUCCCGCAGCCAAGCAGGCGCUCGGCGGGGACCCCAGGGAGCGGGCGCGCCAGGCUGCCCACGGCGCCGCCAGACCCCCGGGACGCGAAUCCGGCUCCCCCCAGACACCCCUCACUCCCGCUCCCAGGGGCACACACACGUACAUGCGCGCCCCAGCUGCAACAGCCGAGGCGGAACUGCAGCCCAAGCCCUCCCUACAGCCCCCACUCAUUAAUUCAGCAAACAUUUGCCGACCGUCUCAGUGCCAGGCGCGAGCUGGCCACUGCGGCUGCAGCGACGAGUCACACCGGGACGCCGCGCCGCCCCCGCCUCCAUCUCACAGCCCGCAGGGGAGGCAGACACAGAAACACUGCGAUCAAUACUGUGACCCCAACAGCAGCCACAGUCGACUGUGUGUGUGCUAAACCCAUCUCGAGCAAAGAUGAGGAAACUAAGGCCCAAGAGGGCCUGUUUAUUCUCCAGAGGCCACACGGCAGAAACAGAACAGGCCUUCUAAUUUGAACCUUAACCACUUCCGGGCACUAUCACCGCUGUCUCUCCAGAGCAUAACUGAAAAGGACCCGACUCAGCCUUGGGCCUUAGAGAAAAUGGAAACCUACCAAGCCGAGCAAGAGACAAGCAGUCUGUACUGAAAGCACAGCUCUUGCAAAGCAGUGGAGGAUUUCAGCUGAGAACAGACUGCAGGUUAGAGAGAGCAAGGACAGAUGUAGUUAGGAAACCAAGCCUGAAGGGCUGGGAGUGUAGCUUAGUGGUAGGGCGUUGACCUAGCAUUUGCAAGGCUUUGGAUUAGAUCUCCAUGCUCCGCGGCCUGGAGUGGAGUGGGGCGGGCCCCUGUUAGCCAGGCCGAGGAAACUAGACUCCAUUGCUAGCAGAGCUGGGAGUGUGUGAGCACAGGAGGGCAUGCGCUGGCUGUUGCUCUGGCAACCACCUGGAAGGGGCAAAGCAGGAAGGGGACUAGAGAGCAAGCCUUGGCCUAUCCUCCCAGCCAAUUUCAAUGAGAAAGGAAGGAAAUAUAUGGCCUUCUUACUCUCCCAAGCAAACACCCUUCUGUCUUACUCAGGAACUUAGGGAAUCACCCCAGAACUUCUAGUACAAGGUGGAGGGAUCCCAGGGAAUGCCAGGUCUCAGAGAAGGUGAGGGCAACACCCAGAAACAUCCUCUAGAAGGACAUGUGGAAAUAACUAGGUUAGACCGCUAUAAGUACUUCCAAAGAGGAUGGAUCUAGGGAAUCAGAAACAGGGACGGUGUCUCUCAUCCCUUCAAGAGAUCAGAACCGAGUUCCUUGCAGCCCUUUCCUACCGUGAUGAGUCCCGUCUGCCUCUGUCCAGCAGACCCUACGCAGUGCACCCCUCUGAAAGAGACAUAGCACUCGGGGCCCCCAGCAUCCCUCCUCCCAAAGUUAGCCUAAUUUUUUCCCUUCCGUGGAUUCAGGUCAUUGCUCCCCGUCCUCGUCCUCUCUCCCAGGCGCCUCGGAAUGUGACUAAUUCCCUCCCUUCAUUUACGGCUCCUGUUACCUGGGAGGUAUUUAUAGCUCUUCGGCCUGUCUCCCUCUCCUGCGACUCAGCUGCAACUCCCCCAGGCCGACUCUCCCCACUCGACCAUCUUUGCCUCCCUUCUCAGGUCUGUCACCUCUUACCCAGCCUCCCACCUUGCAACCUCCCUGACAGGAUAGAGUGGGGCUGGCUGCGAGGGGCCAGGGCCUUUUGGAAGACAGGGAGGCUAUCUGCCAGACAUAUGCCCCUCCCUUCAUGAGCACCCCCAGAAACCCGGGGGCCAGAGAAAGGUGACUGUCUCCUCUCUGUUACCUCAACAUGCAGUCUGAUACUAAUACCAAUAGCAAGCAACAAUCACUGAGUGUUUACUACCAGCCAUUAUCAUUAGUGCUACCCUUGGUUUGUAGAGAGGGAAGCCAAGCCUGGCAAAGGUCAGCUCCUCAGCUCUAAGUGACUUGCAGAGCAACCUCCCAGAGCUCUGCCUGCUAUGCAGGAACACUGGCCCGAAUGCAGGUUACGUGGGGCAGGAGCUGAGGUUCAACCAGGGUGCCUGACCAAAAUCCACCUCACACUGUCCUGGCCCCCUGCCACCUCAUUUGCCCUCGGAUUGUCAGGAAACACCAUCAGAGAAGCCACUGAGUUCCCAGACACUGCCACACCAUGGCCCUGCUCCAGGCAGGAGUCACUGAGGAUCAGAGAUGGAGACAUAGAUCUUUAGUCAAGGGCAGAGAGAGUGGUUCUAUGUCCAUUGUAGGGGGCGGGGGCAGCAGAAAAGAUGGAGGUGAUUUCCUUUUUACAACUGCACCACGGCCCGAGACCCUUCACCAGGACAAUUAAAAGCCUGAGAGGUAGACCUGCUCAACCACACCCAGAGUCUCUGACCAGAAUUCUGACAAUGUUGGUAAAGUGAUUGUUGGAGGACGAAAUAGAGCAGAGAGUUAAGUACAAAUCCCAACGUUGUAAUUAACAAGUCUCAACUUCCCCGUCUGUAAAUGGGGAGGACAUCACAUCUCUUAAGAGAGGUGAGAAUUCAGGACCUUGGGGGGUUUGUCACUACGUAAGGUUUAUGUCAUGCUAGAACUCAAAUCCUGGGCUUUGUGCACGCCAGACAAGCAUCUCCUAACUCAGCUGCACCCUACCCUCUUACUUGUUGCUUGGUUUUUGUUUUGGUUUUUUUUUUUUUUGUUUUUUGUUUUUUGUUUUUUUUUUUUUAAAAAGGGCAGGGGUUUGAAAUAGAGUUCCUCUGUAUAGACUGGCCUUAAACUCAGAGAUUUGCCUGCCUCUGCCUCCAGAGUUCUGGGAUUAAAUGCAUGUGUCUCUGUGCCCUGCUCAAUAUUUUUUUUUUAAAUUUUAGAUUUAUUUUUAAUUUAUAUCUGUGAGUGCUCCCCAAUGCACUGCAUGCAUGCAGUACCCAAAAGAACCAAAAGAGGGCAAUCUAUCCUCCGAGACUUCGGAAGGAUAACCCUAGAGUUACAAAUUGUUAUGAGUCACCCUGUGGGUACUGGGAAUUAAACCUCGGUUCUCUGGAAAACUAGCCAGUGCUCUUAACCACUGGGCCGUCCUGUUUUGUUUUGUUUUGUUUUUGUUUUUUUGUGUUUGUUUGUUUGUUUGUUUGUUUGUUUGUUUUUUGAGAUAGGUUUCACUAUGCAGCCCAUGCUGGCCUCAAGCUUUUGGAGAGCCUCCUUCCUUAGCUGGCAUUUUGGGUGUGCACCACCACACGCAGCUGGUUUCCCUGUUCUGUUCAGUCUUCUCUCUCAGAGCUGAGCCCGGGCCUCUGCUACAGAGAAUGAGCAGCCACUGCGGGGUGUAGACCCUUAUUUCCACAUUCCCACCUUGACCUCUAUGGCUGUAGCACUACCAUCACACACCCAGCCAAGCUCUGAGCUCCUAUUUGAGGAAGCCACCCCUACAUAGUGCCACAGAAGACAAUUAUGAGCCCUACCAAGGGGUGCCAUAUUGAAUCCAGCAGAGCCUUUGUACACCCUUGUGCUACCUCUCACCAUGAGGGAGCCUGUGACAAAAUUCCCCAGUUAUUCUGAUGUCUGCACCUGGGAUCCUGUGGCUCUGAGCCAGCCUUUCCUAGGGCCACAGCACACAGCAGUUCCAGGAUUCAUCCACCAAGCUGACCAUGGGCUGACAGCAGCACAGCAGACACACUGGGUGGGGAUGAGGCUGGGGGUAGCAGCCAGUGCAAGUAGACUGGCCACUGAGGUGAUUAAACAGGGUGAAGUAGGCCGAGGUGAUCUGGCCAGGCCUCCCCACCCUCCCCAGUAAAAGAGGAAAUCCAUCCCAUUACAGGUAAAGGCUAUGAACUGGGAGAGGUCUCACCAGUUGGCAGAGGUCUCACAACGCCCAGCAGGCAGAUACAGGCAAUACCUGCUUAGACGGCCAUAGUUCCUGGUUCUCAUACCGACUGACUAGCCAGAACCAGGUUUAAGUAGGCAUAGAAGCAGUCAGUAGGCCUGCCCACACUGACUGGCUGAGAGAAAAGCCAGCAUGGCAGGACAUUAAGGACAGAACAUCGAGAACAGAACAGCAGAAGGGAGCCUUGGGCUGUGGAUCUCGGAAGGGCUGCAUAAUAGAGGCCUUGAUCUUUAGCCCAGCUCUCCAGAGUUUCGCUGUGUGGCCUCGGACGUAAGCCUCUUUCUGAGCCUCAGUUUACCAAGACUUGUUUAUGAAAACUCUGACCCCCACCAUCUCCCUAUCAGAUCUGAGUAGGGCAUCCUUGGGGACACCAACAGAAGAGACAAGUUUAGGGGUCCAAGAGAGUCUGUGCCCACACUGCUGCCGUUCUCUCCCCAGCCAUGGGCACAUAGGGUCCUCGAUGGAGAAACACGGUGUAUACAAAUAAUUAAACGGAAGAAUUGGAGUGAUUAGGGCAGAUGAUUAUUGUCAAAUUAUGAUUUAUCUUGUAGUGGAAUUAGUAUUCCCCCAAAGGGCCCGGCGUGGCGCGGCGCCCGCCACGGCCCGUGAUUAAUCGCCGUCUCCAGAAGGUCACCUCCAGCCACUGCAGAUUAACUCAGUGGGGAAACUUCUUUCCGUAAUUCAAGCUGUUGUUCCCACAACCUGUCAUCCGCCUUGGAAAAGGACGAUUUCGUCAGGGAGCCCGGGGCGGGGGCCGGCCCGCUCCCCAGCCCCUCCCGGCUGCAGACAUGAUAUAUGGAGACGAUAAUUAUUCAGAUCAGCCUGGUGAUUUACUCGGCAAUCAGAGCCGCUCGAUGCGGUGGCCGCGGAGCCGAGACAGACUAGCAUCGCCAAGGAGGAUGAGACCGGGGGGCUCAGCCCCCUCCCUCCCCCUCGCCCGCCCGGCCUUUGUUCUCUUCGAGGUCUGCACCGGCGCUGCUGGCCCACAGUGUAUGCGCCCAGCCGCUUGGACACAGCAGCGACC